GUGGCGUUAGUGUAAUCUGGUUAGCACAAGAGACUGUGGAUCUCUUAGUCUGGGUUCAAAUCCCAGGCGCCGCCCCA
rnacentral:tRNA from 1 species